CCAAUAGCGUAUAUUAAAGUUGUUGCAGUUAAAAAGCUCGUAGUUGAAUUUCGGGAUCAGACUGUCGGUCGUGCCUCGGUACGCACUGGCAUUAUUGGUUCCUACCUUCUGAAGAACCGCGAUGUCAUUAAUUUGGUGUCACGGGGAAUCAGGACUGUUACUUUGAAAAAAUUAGAGUGUUUAAAGCAGGCGCACGCUUGAAUACAUUAGCAUGGAAUAAUGAAAUAGGACGUUUGAUUCUAUUUUGUUGGUUUCUAGGAUCGACGUAAUGAUUAAUAGGGAUAGUUGGGGGCAUUAGUAUUCAAUUGUCAGAGGUGAAAUUCUUGGAUUUAUUGAAGACUAACUACUGCGAAAGCAUUUGCCAAGGAUGUUUUCAUUAAUCAAGAACGAAAGUUAGGGGAUCGAAGACGAUCAGAUACCGUCGUAGUCUUAACCAUAAACUAUGCCGACUAGGGAUCGGAUGAUGUUAAUUUUUUAAUGACUCAUUCGGCGCCUUACG
rnacentral:rRNA from 1 species